rnacentral:rRNA from 1 species
UACGUAGGGUCCAAGCGUUGUCCGGAAUUAUUGGGCGUAAAGAGCUCGUAGGCGGUCCCUUAAGUCGGUUGUGAAAGCUCAGGGCUCAACCCUGAAAGUGCGGCCGAAACUGGGGGACUUGAGGCAGGUAGGGGAAGGUGGAAUUCCUGGUGUAGCGGUGAAAUGCGCAGAUAUCAGGAGGAACACCAGUGGCGAAGGCGGCCUUCUGGGCCUGUUCUGACGCUGAGGAGCGAAAGCGUGGGGAGCGAACAGGAUUAGAAACCCGCGUAGUCC